rnacentral:lncRNA from 1 species
CAGAUAAGGGUCACUGUUGAGGACACAGAGGCCGGGUGAGCGGUGCCACCUUGUGGAUGAAAGAAGUCAGCGCAUCUGAGCCGUCCUCUCCCACGGGUGCCUUGGGGGCUUCACGUCUAUGAGUGGGAGGAGAGCUGAGUCACCACACCACAGAGCUCCUCUCUCAACAGAAACCCAGCCUCAGUGUUAAAGGAAGCAGACACCCGAUUUCCUGUAAGAUUAGUGCACAUCCAGAGGACUUUCAGACUCAAGAAAACGCUUGGCGACCCAGGGCCAGUGUCUUCCAUCCAGUCCAAUAGAACAAUGCCUCGAAAUAUCCACCUAAAAUUCAUGUCAGAUGUCAUGAGUCAUCCAAGCUAAUGGCAUAGUUUAUAAAAUGCCCUAGCGAGCACUUAGUUGUUUGUGGUUGCAGGACACAAAGAAGAAAGUGCGUGUCAUGGUGGUGGCCCACUGUUAGUCCAAAGUUCAGGUAGGAGGGCAGAAGCAGGUAGAUAUCAGGGAGCAGAACAUCCUGUGUACACACAUAGUUCCAGCUAAAUACAGAGACAAGUCUUUGACUACCAAAUACAAGUUUUAGUAAUUAACAUCCAAUAUGAGCAUGUCAUUGCAGAUGUGUGUCCCUUCUGAGUGCAGUGUAAGGUCAAACUUUAUCAUGCCAAGAUAACAUUCAUGAGAAAAUAAACCAGAGACACCAAGGAGAUUAGAACAGCAGUAAUAGUCUUGGAGUAAUGGCUCAGUGGUUAAGAACACUGGCAGUUGUUCCCGGGUUCCUGAGUUCAAUUUCCAGGAACCACAUGGUGGCUCACAAUUAUCUACAGUGAGAUCUGGUGCUCUCUUCUGGCCUGCAGGCAUGCAUGCAGGCAGAAUGUUGUAUAUGUAAUCUUUUAAAAACUAAAAUAAAGUAAAUAUGUUUGGAAAGCUACAUGCAUUUUAUUUAGAAAGUACAACUACACCAGGCAGUGGUGGUGCACGCCUUUAAUCCCAGCACUCGGGAGGCAGAGGCAG